rnacentral:rRNA from 1 species
AAGUCGAACGAAGGCCCGGAGCUUGCUCCGGAUCCCUUAGUGGCGAACGGGUGAGUAACGCGUGGGAAUCUACCUAAAAAUGGGGAAUAACUAUUGGAAACGAUAGCUAAUACCGCAUAAUCCCUUCGGGGCAAAGGCUUCGGCCGUUUUUAGAUGAGCCCGCGUUAGAUUAGGCUGUUGGUGAGGUAAUGGCUCACCAAACCUACAAUCUAUAGCUGGUCUGAGAGGAUGAUCAGCCACACUGGGACUGAGACACGGCCCAGACUCCUACGGGAGGCAGCAGUGGGGAAUAUUGGACAAUGGGGGAAACCCUGAUCCAGCAAUGCCGCGUGAGUGAUGAAGGCCCUAGGGUUGUAAAGCUCUUUCAGAAGUGAAGAUGAUAACGGUAACUUCAGAAGAAGCUCCGGCUAACUCCGUGCCAGCAGCCGCGGUAAUACGGAGGGAGCUAGCGUUGUUCGGAAUUACUGGGCGUAAAGGGCGUGUAGGCUGUAUGGUUAGUCAGAGGUGAAAUCCCUAAGCUCAACUUAGGAACUGCCUUUGAUACUAUCACACUAGAGAUCGAGAGAAGUUAGCGGAAUUCCAAGUGUAGAGGUGAAAUUCGUAGAUAUUUGGAAGAACACCUGUGGCGAAAGCGGCUAACUGGCUCGCUUCUGACGCUGA